UGCAACAGGGCCUUGGCCGAUCUCGAUUUUUCGAACACUUUCAACGACAGAAAUGUAAAAACGAGGCUUUUAUCACGAAACCGAUGUACAUAAAUAGCAUAGUGCGAGACUGCAUCAGUGGAACACACGGUGGGGGAACUCGGUCGAUGCCGUGGAACCGUGGCACGUUGGAAUCACGUGCACAUCAGCAGGCAUCCGCGUGCUCAACCGAGCCACUCCGCUCGACACGCUCUCGCCUUCUCGAGUACAAUGCCCGUGGUCAUGUUUAUCCCCCCGAAUAAGCGGCUUGCAUCCGUUAGAAAACUUUUAUCGACCGCAAAUAUCCCUCGUUUCACGCGAUAAUCAAUACCACAGUUGACAGUUGGCGAAAGCAUUUGGAAAAACUAGCGUGCACCACAUCUGUGUGCAUUUCCCGUGGAAGGUAAAAUCGUGUCUAUGGAGGGCGCUUCACGGAUAACCACCAUCGCGCCGACUCCGAAAAGUCUGCAAAUCCAACGUCGAACCACGACCCAUGGAAGGGAUGUCAUCGAUCGCACGUACACAAGGUCCAUGGCCUCAACCUCUACACGAUGAGAUCAAUAAGAAAUAGGAAAACAAAAGAAUAUAUGUACAUGUGAAGUGAAAGACAGUUUCAUCCUGUUCAAAUAUUUUCAAUUUUCAUUAAAAAGAAAUAAAAUUGUAUUUAUUAAACAUUAAA